rnacentral:rRNA from 1 species
UACGAAGGGUGCAAGCGUUACUCGGAAUUACUGGGCGUAAAGCGUGCGUAGGUGGUUUGUUAAGUCUGCUGUGAAAGCCCCGGGCUCAACCUGGGAAUGGCAGUGGAUACUGGCAAGCUAGAGUGCGGUAGAGGGUAGUGGAAUUCCCGGUGUAGCGGUGAAAUGCGUAGAGAUCGGGAGGAACACCAGUGGCGAAGGCGGCUACCUGGACCAGCACUGACACUCAGGCACGAAAGCGUUGGGAGCAAACAGG